rnacentral:rRNA from 1 species
UACGGGGGGUGCAAGCGUUGUUCGGAAUUAUUGGGCGUAAAGAGCGUGUAGGCGGCCUGAUGUGUCAGAUGUGAAAGCCCUGGGCUUAACCCAGGAAGUGCAUUUGAAACUGUCAGGCUUGAGUAGGGGAGAGGGAAGUGGAAUUCCUGGUGUAGAGGUGAAAUUCGUAGAUAUCAGGAGGAACACCGGUGGCGAAGGCGACUUCCUGGCCCUAUACUGACGCUGAGACGCGAGAGCGUGGGUAGCAAACAGGAUUAGAUACCCUGGUAGUCCACGCCGUAAACGAUGUUCACUAGGUGUUGGGGGUAUUGACCCCCUCAGUGCCGCAGCUAACGUGUUUAGUAUCCCGCCUGGGGAGUACGGUCGCAAGGCUG